rnacentral:rRNA from 1 species
UACGUAGGGAGCAAGCGUUGUUCGGAUUUACUGGGCGUAAAGGGCGCGUAGGCGGCCUGUCAAGUCAACUGUGAAAUCUCCGGGCUUAACUCGGAACGGUCAGUUGAUACUGUCAGGCUAGAGUGCAGAAGGGGCAAUCGGAAUUCCCAGUGUAGAGGUGAAAUUCGUAGAUAUCGAGAGGAACACCGGUGGCGAAGGCGGCCUUCUGGACAGCAACUGACGCUGAGACGCGAAAGCGUGGGGAGCAAACAGG